AGGAUGUAAAAGAAUAGGUGA
rnacentral:miRNA from 1 species